ACAACAUCUUUUUAACAGAUUUGGUACAAUUGUCUGUCCUUUUUACCUAAAUUCAGCAUUUUCAUACUAAAAAUAGGGACAGUUAUAUAAUACUAGAAUCUUCCGAUAUUUUUCUCAUUUUAAAUUCCCAAUUUACCCUUUUAAGUUAUGUUUAUUGCAACUUCAACGCCCCUAAUUUCUAUUUGUUAUCAACUAAGGUUUCCACUGAAUUCUGAAUAGCAACCAAGAACACAGAUCAAAUCAGACCUCAUACGAAGCAAAUCAAGACUGCACGACACGUCAUGUGAUUACAACCUUAGAGUUAAUUAAAUAAUAACUUGCAAUCUAAAUUAACUAACAUGCAUUUAAGUAGUCUAAAUACAGAAAAUAAUUUUGUUAGGUUGAUUCAAUUAGACUAAAUAAAAUGUGAUUAACUAAAUAGUAAUGUGGUUAACUGAAGAAUUAUAAAACUAGUUUAAACUAGUCUUAUCUAAUUAAACACACAGUAACAAGGAAUCAAGGCAACAAAAAUAGAUAAAAACAAACCCUAAAUAUAAAAAAUAAAAAAGAAUAAACAGAGACAAAGGGAAAAGAACAAGGUAUUGAUUUUUGCUGGAAGAUGCAUAAGUGACUGAGGCAAAUCAGAGCUUUGUUGGCCAAUAUAGAGUUUUUCUGAAUCCGGCGAGCCUUUAAGAGAACCAAAACUGAAGUUAAUCGAUUGUUCUUAACAAAAAACAAUCGAUUAGCAUAAACAUUGGCUCAAAUCAAGCCUUAGAAACCAUAGAAAUCAAAAGGGAGAAAGGGUUAGGGUUUUGGUUUUCUUUUGAAAUUUCAGAUCUAAAACUUGGAAAAAUCGGGUGAUUAUUUGAGGAAAUUGGUGGGGGAAUAGUGAUGAGGGGAGGCUGGGAUUGUGGGGUUAUAUUUUAGGGGAGCUUGGAGACGGGCCGCCACCAUGAGGCGAUAUCAGGUGGCGGCAAGAAGCGGAGGUGAGAGAGACGACUUGGUGAAGGGGAAAGUGAAUCAGUUCUCUAGGGUUUGGGGGGUUCGACAUUUUUAAGGGAAAUGGAGAUCAAUGUGAGCCAUUGGAUCAAAAUGAUCCAACGUCUAGGAUUAAAGGGAGGGGAAAC
rnacentral:lncRNA from 1 species